rnacentral:rRNA from 1 species
AAUAACACUGCCUUCGGGGCUCCUUGGUGAUUCAUAAUAACUUCACGAAUCGCAUGGCCUUGCGCCGGCGAUGGUUCAUUCAAAUUUCUGCCCUAUCAACUUUCGAUGGUAGGAUAGUGGCCUACCAUGGUUGGCAACGGGUAACGGGGAAUUAGGGUUCGAUUCCGGAGAGGGAGCCUGAGAAACGGCUACCACAUCCAAGGAAGGCAGCAGGCGCGCAAAUUACCCAAUCCCGAUACGGGGAGGUAGUGACAAUAAAUACUGAUACAGGGCUCUUUUGGGUCUUGUAAUUGGAAUGAGAACAAUCUAAAUCCCUUAACGAGGAACAAUUGGAGGGCAAGUCUGGUGCCAGCAGCCGCGGUAAUUCCAGCUCCAAUAGCGUAUAUUAAAGUUGUUGCAGUUAAAAGCUCGUAAUUGAACCUUGGGCCCUGUCCUGGCUCGGUCCGCCUCACCGCGAGUAGCUGGUCCGGGUGCGCGCCUUUCUUCUCUGGGGGAAUCCUCAAUGGGCCCUUUCACUUGGGCUGUUGGNCCGUGGUACAACCAGGA